rnacentral:lncRNA from 1 species
AAAAAAAGAUUUUUUUUUGUCAAAGAAAAAUCCCAAUUUUUUUUAAAAUAAAAAAAACAAAACUAACAAUGUUAAAAAUUAAUAAAUACGAUGAAUCAAAAACAAAAAAGAAAGAAAUUAACGAUACAUAGAAAGUUUCUAGAAACAAACUGAACCCUUCUUCUUCGUGGAAGUUCAAUACACAACAAUCUUCUUCUUCUUCUUCUUCACUGCAAUUCAUCACCUUUUUCACUGCACCUUCAUCACAUUUGAACCCUUCAUCACCUUCGAAAUUGGUAAAGCUUGAAACCCUAACUUUCAUAGAAAUUAAACUGCUUCACUCAAACUUGAAAGAAUGAACCGUUCCCUUCGCUGCAAACCUGGGGGUCCUGCUCCUCUAAGCGGGGACAAUUCAAGAAGAAUUAAGAGACGAACCAUUCCCUUCACUCAUUCAUGUAUGUAAACUUUAAACCCUAACUUUUUAUUUUAUUUGUAGUGA